rnacentral:rRNA from 1 species
AUGGAGAAGCCAGAGCAACCACUUGAGGAACAGACACCUCCAGCCCCCUCAUCUCGGAUAUCAGUCAAGAAAGCAGUUGAAGUAAUCGAUUCGUUCGAUGAUUACAAGAGGUGGCUCGUUACUGAAAUUGGGUUUGGCGGCAUGCUGAAACUUCCUGCUAUUCAGAAGCUUAACCUGAAGAUCAAUGCCUGGGUUAUGAGCAAGGUAUCCGUUAGGCGUCGAGCAAUUGUUCUGUCCGAAUCAAAGAUCAUAAAGUUCUUCACGGAGGAUGUGCACAAGGUGUUUGGUAUACCAUGUGGCCAUCAUAGCGUUAAAGGGCAUGAUGGUUUCAUUAAGCCAGAGGCAAUAAGUUUCAUAAAGGGCACACUAGGGAUGGACAAGACUGGGGUUCAUAGCCUGCGUGCCGCUGAGGAAUUCCUCAUGCGUGAGAUAUCUGAGUCGUCUAGCAAGCUCGAGAAGGACUGCUUCCAAAUUGCAUUUGUCAUUUUUGUGAUGGGUCAUGUGCUGGCACCCAGGACAAAACACGAUUAUGGGACUAUAAAUUAUUGGGGAGCACUUGCGAACACAAAGAAUAUCUCACAAUUCAAUUGGUGUGAGUUUGUCCUGGAUUUCUUGCUCGAGGCAGUCCGUCGUUUGAAGAAUGAUAUGAUGGCUAAUAAUCCAAACACCAACCUUGUUGGUUGUCAUCUAUUUCUACAGGUCAGAUAG